rnacentral:tRNA from 1 species
GCAGUCGUGGCCGAGUGGUUAAGGCGGUGGACUAGAAAUCCAUUGGGGUCUCCCCGCGCAGGUUCGAAUCCUGUCGACUGCG